UGCUGGGGUAGCUCAGUUGGUAGAGCAGCUCACUCGUAAUGAGAAGGUCGCAGGUUCGAUUCCGCUCUCAGCACC
rnacentral:tRNA from 1 species